rnacentral:rRNA from 1 species
GACGAACGCUGGCGGCGUGCUUAACACAUGCAAGUCGAACGGAAAGGCCCUGCUUUUGUGGGGUGCUCGAGUGGCGAACGGGUGAGUAACACGUGAGUAACCUGCCCUUGACUUUGGGAUAACUUCAGGAAACUGGGGCUACUACCGGAUAGGAGCUCCUGCUGCAUGGUGGGGGUUGGAAAGUUUCGGCGGUUGGGGAUGGACUCGCGGCUUAUCAGCUUGUUGGUUGGGUAGUGGCUUACCAAGUCUUUGACGGGUAGCCGGCCUGAGAGGGUGACCGGCCACAUUGGGACUGAGAGAAGGCCAAGACUCCUACGUGAGGCAGCAGGGGGAAAUAGUGCACAAUGAGCGGAGGCCUGAUGCAGCAACGCCGCGUGCGGGAGGACGGCCUGCGGGUUGGAACCCGCUUGCGCCUGGGAGGAAGCGUGAGUGACGGUAAUGGGUAAAGAAGCACCGGGUAACUACGUG